CCUUUAAUGGAGAGUUUGAUCCUGGCUCAGGACGAACGCUGGCGGCGUGCCUAAUACAUGCAAGUCGAGCGGAGUUAUUCCUUCGGGGAUAGCUUAGCGGCGGACGGGUGAGUAACACGUAGG
rnacentral:rRNA from 1 species